UACGUAGGGGGCAAGCGUUGUCCGGAUUUAUUGGGCGUAAAGAGCUCGUAGGCGGUCUGUCACGUCGGCUGUGAAAACCCGAGGCUCAACCUCGGGCCUGCAGUCGAUACGGGCAAACUAGAGUACUGCAGGGGAGACUGGAAUUCCUGGUGUAGCGGUGAAAUGCGCAGAUAUCAGGAGGAACACCGGUGGCGAAGGCGGUUCUCUGGGCCUUACCUGACGCUGAGGAGCGAAAGCGUGGGGAGCGAACAGG
rnacentral:rRNA from 1 species